rnacentral:lncRNA from 1 species
CACAAAUUCGAUCACAAUUUUCGCCAAAACUCUAGGAGAAGACGUUGAUACUGUCCACCCUGGGCACCAGGUACCUCGGAGACGGUUGCCGUGGCGAUAUUCGUGUUCAGCGACCCCAAAAACCCCCGAGUAGCAAAUUUUUUAUUUAGUGUCUCUUGGAAGUGCACUUGCAAAAUGCAUAUUAUUAAUGCCAUAAUGCAUUUUCAAAAAAUUAAUUAAUCAAUUUAGUUCACAAAGUUUGUAGGCGCUCUUACGAAUCGAAUGCAAAAAACCGCAUUAAAAUCCGUCUUACUGCUCAAAAAAUCGACAGUCCAUUGCUUUAUUUCCUCGACUAAUGCAAAUCGU